CCGUGUGCCGUGUGUGGGAGGUGUGCCCGUGUGCCGUGUGUGUGAGGUGUGCGUGUGCCGUGUGUGUGAGGUGUGCAUGUGUGCCGUGUGUGAGGUGUGCAUGUGUGCCGUGUGUGUGAGGUGUGCCCGUGUGCCGUGUGUGUGAGGUGUGCCCGUGUGCCGUGUGUGUGAGGUGUGCAUGUGUGCCGUGUGUGAGAUGUGCCUGUGUGCCGUGUGUGAGGUGCGCCUGUGUGCCGUCUGUGAGGUGUGCCUGUGUGCCAUGUGUGAGGUGUGCCUGUGUGCCAUGUGUGAGGUGUGCGUGUGUGCCAUGUGUGAGGUGUGCGUGUGUGCCGUGAGGUGUGCGUGUGUGCCGUGUGUGAGGUGUGCAUGUGUGCCGUCUGUGUGUGAGGUGUGCCUGUGUGCCGUGUGUGAGGUGUGCCUGUGUGCUGUGUGUGAGGUGUGCAUGUGUGCCGUGUGUGUGAGGUGUGCAUGUGUGCCGUGUGUGUGUUGGUGUGCAUGUGUGCCGUGUGUGAGGUGUGCCUGUGUGCCGUGUGAGGUGUGCAUGUGUGUCAUGUGUGUGAGGUGUGCAUGUGUGCCGUGUGUGAGGUGUGCAUGUGUGCCGUCUGUGAGGUGUGCCUGUGUGCCGUGUGAGGUGUGCAUGUGUGCCGUGUGUAUGUGUUGGUGUGCAUGUGUGCCGUGUGUGAGGUGUGCCUGUGUGCCGUGUGAGGUGUGCAUGUGUGUCAUGUGUGUGAGGUGUGCCUGUGUGCCAUGUGUGUGUGAGGUGUGCCUGUGUGCCGUGUGUGUGAGGUGUGCAUGUGUGCUGUGCUGUGAGGUGUGCAUCUGUGGUGUGUGUGAGCAUGGUAUGUGUGUGUAGUGUACGUAUGUGUGGUACAUGUGAGCAUACGGUGUGCAUGUGUGGUGUGUGUGUGUGUGUGUGUGUGGUGUGUGUGUGCCUGUGUUACCAUUUAAGAUGGUAGCAGCUAUUGGCAUUAAAAAGGACCUGCUAUUCUGAGCUCUGGCUUUGACAGUAAGCUGUGCCCACAGCAGCUGUUAGCAAUCAGAGUGUGUUUCCAUCCGAUGUGAA
rnacentral:lncRNA from 1 species